CGGGUGGCUGCACCAGUGAGGAAUAUUGCACAAUGGGGGGAACCCUGAUGCAGCAACGCCGCGUGGAGGAUGACGCAUUUCGGUGUGUAAACUCCUUUUAUAUGUCAAGAAAAUGACGGUAGCAUAUGAAUAAGCACCGGCUAACUCCGUGCCAGCAGCCGCGGUAAUACGGAGGGUGCAAGCGUUACUCGGAAUCACUGGGCGUAAAGGACGCGUAGGCGGGUUGGAAAGUCAGGUGUGAAAUCCUACAGCUUAACUGUAGAACUGCACUUGAAACUUCUAAUCUAGAGUAUGGGAGGGGGAGAUGGAAUUAGUGGUGUAGGGGUAAAAUCCGUAGAUAUCACUAGGAAUACCUAAAGCGAAGGCGAUCUCCUGGAACAUUACUGACGCUAAGGCGUGAAAGCGUGGGGAGCAAACAGGAUUAGAUACCCUAGUAGUC
rnacentral:rRNA from 1 species